UACGGAGGGGGCUAGCGUUGUUCGGAAUUACUGGGCGUAAAGCGCACGUAGGCGGUUUUGUAAGUUAGAGGUGAAAGUCCGUAGCUUAACUUCGGAAUUGCCUUUAAGACUGCAUCACUUGAACGUCGGAGAGGUGAGUGGAAUUCCGAGUGUAGAGGUGAAAUUCGUAGAUAUUUGGAAGAAUACCAGUGGCGAAGGCGGGUCACUGGACGACUGUUGACGCUGAGGUGCGAAAGCGUGGGGAGCAAACAGG
rnacentral:rRNA from 1 species